CAAAAAGAACCUUGCCAAGUGUAUUUUUGGUGGGCAUGGACUUCUCAUAACCUACCAAUAAUUUUUUUUUGGGAGGCACCGCAGUGGAAAGAGCCGUUGUUACCGGGUGUAACAUAGUAUCGGUGGCCAGUGUUCGAUAGCAGCGCUUGGAUCGACCGACUCGGGGUGGUUAAUCGGGGCCGGGUUAACUCGCACCAGACAGUAAUGUCUCGACAAGGAGGAAGAAGCGGCUUCAAGUGAACAUCAACGCGUUCUACGUGUUUUCACUGGCCAUGACGGAGUGGUGCUGCUCAUCGUACAUCGAAGGAGCCUGCUACGAUCCGUGGUCGCUGUUUGCCAGCACGAA